GACUUUAUUUUUUAUACAAUACCCAGGUAAAAAAGUAGUAUACUUUAGUGUGUUAGAAAUAUGAUUAAAGUACAUGAAGUAUAAAGCAAGUAUGCUUACACUUUUUGUACUUUAUGUAAAGUAUGUUUAAUGUGUACUUUUAGAAAGUGUACUUCAAAGUAGAUGUUAUUAAGUUCAACUUCAGUGUACUAAAAUUAAAUAUACUUAUUGUGCAAUAUUCAAAGUGUUUUUGUAAUGUACUUUUUAAAAGUGUACUUUGUUGUUAGUGUAUUUUAAAUGGUAAAGAUGUUUAUUUAGUUUAAGUGUAUUAAAUUGCUAAUACUUAGAGUUGGAAUAUAGUGUACUUAUGGAAAGUAUAUUUUUUGGUAGGCCUAAUACAUUGUUUGUAUAGUUUCAUAGUCAUAGUAAUAAGUUCAACUUCAGUGUACUAAAAUUAAAUAUACUUAUUGUGCAAUAUUCAAAGU